GAUAAACGCUGACAGAAUGCUUAACACAUGCAAGUCUACUUGAAUUUGGGUUUUUGACUUAGAUUUGGGUGGCGGACGGGUGAGUAACGCGUAAAGAACUUGCCUCACAGCUAGGGACAACAUUUAGAAAUGAAUGCUAAUACCUAAUAUUAUGAUAAUAGGGCAUCCUAUAAUUAUGAAAGCUAUAAGCGCUGUGAGAGAGCUUUGCGUCCCAUUAGCUAGUUGGAGAGGUAACGGCUCACCAAGGCGAUGAUGGGUAGCCGGCCUGAGAGGGUGAUCGGCCACAAGGGGACUGAGACACGGCCCUUACUCCUACGGGAGGCAGCAGUGGGGAAUAUUGGACAGUGGACCGAGAGUCUGAUCCAGCAAUUCUGUGUGCACGAUGAAGUUUUUCGGAAUGUAAAGUGCUUUCAGUUGGGAAGAAAGAAAUGACGGUACCAACAGAAGAAGUGACGGCUAAAUACGUGCCAGCAGCCGCGGUAAUACGUAUGUCACGAGCGUUAUCCGGAUUUAUUGGGCGUAAAGCGCGUCUAGGUGGUUAUAUAAGUCUGAUGUGAAAAUGCAGGGCUCAACUCUGUAUUGCGUUGGAAACUGUAUAACUAGAGUACUGGAGAGGUAAGCGGAACUACAAGUGUAGAGGUGAAAUUCGUAGAUAUUUGUAGGAAUGCCGAUGGGGAAGCCAGCUUACUGGACAGAUACUGACGCUGAAGCGCGAAAGCGUGGGUAGCAAACAGG
rnacentral:rRNA from 1 species